CCUACGGGUGGCAGCAGUGGGGAAUAUUGCACAAUGGGGGAAACCCUGAUGCAGCGACGCCGCGUGAGUGAAGAAGGAAUUCGUUAUGUAAAGCUCUAGCAGCAGGGAAGAAAAUGACGGUACCUGAGUAAGAAGCCCCGGCUAACUACGUGCCAGCAGCCGCGGUAAUACGUAGGGGGCAAGCGUUAUCCGGAUUUACUGGGUGUAAAGGGAGCGUAGACGGCCGUGCAAGUCUGGAGUGAAAGGCGGGGGCUCAACCCCCGGACUGCUCUGGAAACUGUACGGCUGGAGUGCAGGAGAGGUAAGUGGACUUCCUCGUGUAGCGGUGACCUGCGUCGAUAUUAGG
rnacentral:rRNA from 1 species